GGUGGCUCAGUGGUAGAGUGCUUGCCUAGCAUGCAUGAGGCCGUGGGUUCAAUUCCUUGGCACCA
rnacentral:tRNA from 1 species